rnacentral:tRNA from 1 species
GCACUAGUAGCUCAGCGCCAGAGCGCCGGCCUUGUAAGUCGGACGUCGAAGGUUAAAAUCCUUCCUUCUGCU